rnacentral:lncRNA from 1 species
GUUGACGUUAUUAUUACUAAGCUCAAAGUCUGCAAAGGGCCGAAACGUGUGGACUGUACUAUAGAAACUGCACAAAUGACGUCCGACCACAGCUUCAAAUACACAUUAAGCUUGAAAGAAAAUGUUAAUUUGACUAGCGGAAAACUAAUUGGUUCGCAGAACGGCAAAGACUUGAUAAAAUAUAGCAUGAAAAAGCCAUGCGACAAUCUUCUGAUACAUUCGUUAUUAAAAGCGUAUGUAAAUAUAUCAAAAGAUUGUAUGAUUUCAAAGGGACAAUACGAAUUUAUAGUGGAUGUAAAUACGAUUUCACAAAAAUAUUAUCACGGGAUAUUUUUUUAUGGCAAUUGGACCUUUAAGACGGUGCUCUACAGCAUCAAAUGCAAUGCCUUGUGCAAUCAUGUCGAGCUUCUAAUCUCCCAGAGGAAGAAAUUAUAAUUUAACCAUGCAUACUUCCUCUUCUAUUAAAUGUUUUUCGU